UGGGGAAUAUUGGACAAUGGGGGGAACCCUGAUCCAGCCAUGCCGCGUGUGUGAAGAAGGCCUUAUGGUUGUAAAGCACUUUAAGCAGUGAAGAAGAGGCUAUAGCUAAUACCUAUAGAAGAUGACAUUAGCUGCAGAAUAAGCACCGGCUAACUCUGUGCCAGCAGCCGCGGUAAUACAGAGGGUGCAAGCGUUAAUCGGAAUUACUGGGCGUAAAGCGAGCGUAGGUGGCUAAAUAAGUCAGAUGUGAAAUCCCCGGGCUUAACCUGGGAACUGCAUCUGAAACUGUAUAGCUAGAGUAGGUGAGAGGGAGGUAGAAUUUCAGGUGUAGCGGUGAAAUGCGUAGAGAUCUGAAGGAAUACCGAUGGCGAAGGCAGCCUCCUGGCAUCAUACUGACACUGAGGUUCGAAAGCGUGGGUAGCAAACA
rnacentral:rRNA from 1 species